UAUAUUAUAGAGUUUAAGCCAAUAGCCUCCUUCACGCCUUUCUAACAGGUCGUCUCGGCCAACUUUCCAUCCCCUCCGCUUCACUCCUUGCAUCGGACAUGAGAUCGCGCUUCGGUUAGACAAUUCUACGAACAGUUGACACACUCUCUCACUCUAUUCGUUGUCCACAAGGCAAUGCAACAACCACCGCCACCACCGUGAAACGCUACCCGCAUCCACAAGUUCCACCCCUUAACUCCACCGCCCACAGUCAGUUCCUGCACUAACCCACUCCCACCAAAACCCAUCACUUUCACUCCUUCAAUUCCAACUCUUUCUUUUUUCUCGUCAGAUGGCUUCUACAAGCUCAAUUCCCAUCGUUCCUUCCACUCUUGCUCUACCCGAGGACAUGGCUGCCAGGGCCUUGAACAAGCGCUAUGAAGGCCUCGUUACCGUGCGAACUAAGGCCAUCAAGGGGAAAGGAGCCUGGUACUGGACCCACUUAGAGCCUAUUCUCCUUCGCAACCCAGACACGAACCUCCCCAAAGCCGUCAAACUUAAGUGCUCCUUGUGCGAUGCCGUUUUCUCCGCCUCCAAUCCCUCCAGAACAGCCUCGGAGCACUUGAAGAAGGGCGCUUGCCCUAAUUACAGCUCCGUUUCCCGACUCAGCAGCGCUUCUCUCUCGCCUUUACCGAUAUCCUCGGUGCCGUCGCCGAUACCGUCUUUACACAAUCACAGAAAGCGAAGCUCUCAAAUGGUUACUCAUCCUUUGCAUUCAUGCCCUUCUUCUUCGUACCAAGCUAGUUCUUUAGCUUGGGUCGAGUCUUCGCGGUUCUAUCACAACCCAAACCACGACGGAUCGCAUUUCUCGCCACGCCAGAACACGGUUGGCACGGCGCGUAACUCGGGGCUAAAUCAGCACCAUUUGGUCUUGUCGGGUGGGAAAGAGGAUUUGGAUGCAUUGGCAUUGUUGGAAGAUAGUGUGAAAAGGCUCAAGAGUCCUAAAGGGUCAUCUGGUCCUGCUUUGAGCAAGGAUCAGAUUGAUUCCGCACUUCAAUUGCUCGCAGAAUGGUUCUACGAGUCAUGUGGGUCUGUCUCAGUUUCGAGCCUCGAGCACCCCAAGUUUAGAGCGUUUCUAAACCAGGUGGGUUUGCCUGGGUUAUUGCGGCGCGAGCUCACGGGUGCUCGGCUUGAUGCUAAGUUCGAUGAGGUGAAGACUAAGUCGGAUGCUAGAAUAAGAGACGCUAUGUUUCUUCAGGUUGCUAGUGAUGGAUGGAAGGGAAAGAGUUGUUGUGGCUUUACUUGUGAUGGAGAGAAUUUGAUUAAAUUUACGGUUAAUCUUCCGAAUGGGACAAGUGAUUUUCAAAAGGUGGUGUUCACAGGAGGAAGGGUGUCAGCGAAGUAUGCAGAGGAGGUUUUAUGGGAAGCGGUAACAGGUGUGUGUGGGAGUGGUGUGCAGAGAUGUGUAGGGAUAGUUGCAGAUAAGUAUAAGGCCAAGGCAUUGAGGAACUUGGAGACUCAGAAUCAUUGGAUGAUAAAUCUCUCUUGUCAGCUUCAGGGAUUUGUAAGUUUGAUCAAGGAUUUUAACAAAGAACUUCCACUUUUCAGGACUGUCACCGAGAACUGCAUAAAAGUUGCAAAUUUCGUAAAUAAUACUUCUCAAGUUAGGAAUAGUUUCCUCAAGUACAAGAUGCAGGAACUUGAGCAUGCUGGGUUGCUGCGAGUUCCUUCGCCAAAAUGUGACACUUCCAAGAAUUUUGAACCGGUUUUUUCGAUGUUGGAAGAUAUACUCAGCUGUGCCCAGGUGCUCCAAAUGGUUGUACUGGAUGAAACGUAUAAGGUGGCAUGUGUGGAGGAUUCAAUUGCGAGAGAGGUUGCUGGGCUGAUUCAAACCGGGGGGUUUUGGAAUGAGUUGGAGGCAGUAUUUUCCCUUGUCAAGUUGAUCAGAGAGAUGGUUCAGGAGAUUGCAGCUGACAGGCCAUUAAUUGGGCAGUGCCUACCUCUUUGGGAGGAGUUGAAGGGGAGAGUGAAGGACUGGUGUGCCAAAUUUAACAUUACCGAGGGACCCGUCGAAAAAAUAGCUGAAAAGCGAUUCAGAAAAAACUACCACCCAGCAUGGUCGGCUGCAUUUAUACUGGACCCCCUUUACUUGAUGAGGGACACGAGUGGAAAAUACCUUCCACCAUUCAAGUGUUUGACGCAUGAGCAGGAGAAGGAUGUCGAUAAGCUCAUAACCAGGCUGGUUUCCAGGGAAGAAGCUCAUGUUGCAUUGAUGGAGCUCAUGAAAUGGAGGUCAGAAGGGCUCGAUCCUCUAUAUGCUCAAGCCGUUCAGGUAAAACAGCGAGAUCCUGUUACCGGAAAGAUGAAAAUUGCAAACCCACAAAGCAGUAGACUUGUGUGGGAAACUUGCUUAAGUGAGUUUAAGUGUCUGGGUAAGGUUGCAGUGAGGGUCCUCUUCCUCCAUGCAACGUCUUGCGCGUUCAAGUGUAGUUGGUCUUCCAUGAAAUGGGUUUGGGUCCAAAGACACCCAAGGGUAGGCCUGGAAAGGGCUAAAAAAAUGAUAUAUAUUGCAUCUCAUGCAAAGCUUGAAAGGCGGGAUUUUUCGAAUGAGGAAGAAAAGGAUGCAGAGCUGUUUGCAGUGGCAGGCAGUGAUGGUGAUGUGCUCAAUGAGAUCUUUUUCGAUGCAUCCUCAGUAGUAAUCUGUUUGGCUUGCCAUGAUUAUUAAUCUUGAGCAAAGUGGAAGCAAGAAGAGCUGUCAGUAUGAGGAGGAACAUAAGAUGGCUGAAAAGGAUAUUGCAACAAACUUGAAUUUUGGAUGUACAUUUUGGUGAAUAUUUUUCACUAAAAACCAGCAGGUUGGUGAUUCUAGAGGUGUUGAUAUUAUUUGCUUGCAGUUGUCAUGUACCUUUGUGCAGUGAUGUGGUGCUCUGAGCAUGGGGCAUUGCACUCUAUAUCUCACACCUUUGGAUGGUUAUCUCAGUAGAUUUUUUCAAUAAACCCUGUCCUACCGUGUCUUAUUAUUGGAACCCCAUCAAAGCAGUUCUCCUCUCUCUCUCUCUCUCUCUCUCUCUCUCUCUCUCUCUCUCUCUCUCUCAUUUUUUGUGCUUUAAAUUUUCCCACGCGCCUUGAGCAGUAAAAGGUGAAAUUUACGAAGUGGGUGUUGAGUAAAAAGUGAAGUAUUAGUUUCUCUUCCUAGGCGAAGCAGUAGUAGAGUAGAAUGAGCGUAUUUGCCUUCUCUACUCAAAUCGGUGAAGAGACAAUUGAUCCUGUCGGCAAGGUUGAGCAAUGCUGACUGCUCACCAACUAGAAAGGAAAGCUCUUUCACUCGUAUGGUGAAAUGAGUUGAGACAUGCUUCUCCAUUUUUCCCCGUGGCUUCCAGGAGGGUCUUCUGCUCUUCCCUGUUCGCCCCAUGGUAUUGAAGGUCCCAAAUAAAGUCUGGAAAUUUGCUGCUAUAGAGCAACUCCCUGAGAGAUUCAAAGAUCUUCAUGGUUAGACUGUGCACACCCAUAAGAGUAUAGCAUGUUGUCAAAGAUUUCCUUAUCUUUUUAACAGUACCAGGCAAUAAUGAACUUUCAUGAUCGUAAAUGAGGUCGUACUGGCAAUAAAGAUCAGAAACAUUUGAGAAAAUCCCAACUCAGAUGGAUGCAAAGUUCCACCAAAUGAUUUUAUUACACCACAUGAGUUGAACCAUGAAGAGUUCAAAUCUCUCAUGGAGUUACCUUUAUACCAUGUUACCCGAGAGAGAUUACUACAUUUUAUUUUGUCAUGGAUUACUCUAAGUUAGAGGUUUAAAAUACAGCCUUGUCUUUUCCAAAAAUAAAUAAAUAGUUUGGCUGUUGAUAUUCCAUUUAUGAUCAUGCUUGAUUCUACUGAGGUCUCAUAUAUACCUGCUUGAGAAAUGAAAAUGUCGGUGUUAUGGUGGAA